rnacentral:rRNA from 1 species
GCAGUGAGGAAUCUUGCGCAAUGGGGGAAACCCUGACGCAGCAACGCCGCGUGAGUGAUGAAGGCCUUCGGGUCGUAAAGCUCUGUCAGAUGGGAAGAAUGUUCCAGCGGUGAAUAAUCGUUGGGAUCGACGGUACCGUCAGAGGAAGCGCCGGCUAACUCCGUGCCAGCAGCCGCGGUA